AACUACAGUAGGGCCAGGAGUUCCUCCAUCAUGCUCAGGUAACUACAGCAGGGCCAGGAGUUCCUCCAUCAUGUUCAGGUAACUACAAUAGGGCCAGUGGUUCCUCCAUCAUGUUCAGGUAACUACAAUAGGGCCAGUGGUUCCUCCAUCAUGUUCAGGUAACUACAGUAGGGCCAGUGGUUCCUCCAUCAUGUUCAGGUAACUACAAUAGGGCCAGGAGUUCCUCCUCAUGCUCAGGUAACUACAGUAGGGCCAGGGGUUCCUUCAUCAUGUUCAGGUAACUACAGCCGGGCCAGGAGUUCCUCCAUCAUGUUCAGGUAACUACAGUAGGGCCAGGGGUUCCUCCAUCAUGUUCAGGUAACUACAGUAGGGCCAGGAGUUCCUCCAUCAUGUUCAGGUAACUACAGUAGGGCCAGGAGUUCCUCCAUCAUGUUCAGGUAACUACAGUAGGGCCAGGAGUUCCUCCAUCAUGCUCAGGUAACUACAGUAGGGCCAGGAGUUCCUCCAUCAUGUUCAGGUAACUACAGUAGGGCCAGGAGUUCCUCCAUCAUGUUCAGGUAACUACAGUAGGGCCAGGAGUUCCUCCAUCAUGUUCAGGUAACUCCAGUAGGGCCAGUGGUUCCUCCAUCAUGCUCAGGUAACUACAGUAGGGCCAGGAGUUCCUCCAUCAUGUUCAGGUAACUCCAGUAGGGCCAGGAGUUCCUCCAUCAUGUUCAGAUAACUACAAUAGGGCUAGUGGUUCCUCCAUCAUGUUCAGGUAACUACAAUAGGGCCAGUGGUUCCUCCAUCAUGUUCAGGUAACUACAGUAGGGCCAGGAGUUCCUCCAUCAUGUUCAGAUAACUACAAUAGGGCCAGUGGUUCCUCCAUCAUGUUCAGGUAACUACAAUAGGGCCAGUGGUUCCUCCAUCAUGUUCAGGUAACUACAAUAGGGCCAGUGGUUCCUCCAUCAUGUUCAGGUAACUACAAUAGGGCCAGUGGUUCCUCCAUCAUGUCCAGGGAACUACAGUAGGGCCAGGAGUUCCUCCAUCAUGUUCAGGCAACUCCAGUAGGGCCAGGGGUUCCUCCAUCAUGCUCAGGUAACUACAGUAGGGCAAGGGGUUCCUCCAUCAUGUUCAGGUAACUACAAUAGGGCCAGGGGUUCCUCCAUCAUGCUCAGGUAACUCCAGUAGGGCCAGGGGUUCCUCCAUCAUGCUCAGGUAACUCCAGUAGGGCCAGGGGUUCCUCCAUCAUGCUCAGGUAACUACAGCAGGGCCAGGGGUUCCUCCAUCAUGCUCAGGUAACUACAGUAGGGCCAGUGGUUCCUCCAUCAUGCUCAGGUAACUACAGCAGGGCCAGGAGUUCCUCCAUCAUGCUCAGGUAACUACAGUAGGGCCAGUGGUUCCUCCAUCAUGCUCAGGUAACUACAGCAGGGCCAGGAGUUCCUCCAUCAUGCUCAGGUAACUACAGCAGGGCCAGGAGUUCAUCCAUCAUGUUCAGGUAACUACAGUAGGGCCAGGAGUUCCUCCAUCAUGCUCAGGUAACUACAGCAGGGCCAGGAGUUCAUCCAUCAUGCUCAGGUAACUACAGCAGGGCCAGGGGUUCCUCCAUCAUGCUCAGGUAACUACAGUAGGGCCAGUGGUUCCUCCAUCAUGCUCAGGUAACUACAGUAGGGCCAGUGGUUCCUCCAUCAUGCUCAGGUAACUACAGCAGGGCCAGGGGUUCCUCCAUCAUGCUCAGGUAACUACAGCAGGGCCAGGAGUUCAUCCAUCAUGUUCAGAUAGCUUCAGUCAUAUAAUAACAUACAGUAUGGCCGUGGUCUGGACCCAUAGUUAUAGUCACACUACCCCGACAGUACCUUGUGAACAUUUAUUUCCAAAUAUAAGUUAUUUUACACUAGCCAGAACUUUCACUGUAGAAAUAGGAAUUAUGUAUUUGCAAUGUGCACAUAACCUACCUUCUUUAAGAUGCGGUUAUUGAUACUGGUUUUGUGCAAUCAUC